GCCAGGCGUGGUGGCGCUUGCCUGUAAUCUCAGCCACUCAGGAGGCUAAGGCAGGAGGAUCACAAGUUCAAAGCCAGCCUCAGAAAUGGUGAGGUGCUAAGCAACUCAGUGAGACCCUGUCCCUA
rnacentral:sRNA from 1 species